GGGCCUACGGGACGCAGCAGUCGGGAAUAUUGCGCAAUGGAGGAAACUCUGACGCAGUGACGCCGCGUAUAGGAAGAAGGUUUUCGGAUUGUAAACUAUUGUCGUUAGGGAAGAGAAAGGACAGUACCUAAGGAGGAAGCUCCGGCUAACUACGUGCCAGCAGCCGCGGUAAUACGUAGGGAGCGAGCGUUAUCCGGAUUUACUGGGUGUAAAGGGAGCGUAGACGGCAGCGCAAGUCUGGAGUGAAAUGCCGGGGCCCAACCCCGGAACUGCUUUGGAAACUGUGCAGCUCGAGUGCAGGAGAG
rnacentral:rRNA from 1 species